UACGUAGGGGGGCAAGCGUUGUCCGGAAUCAUUGGGCGUAAAGCGCGUGUAGGCGGUCCGGUAAGUCCGCUGUGAAAGUCGGGGGGCUCAACCCUCGGAUGCCGGUGGAUACUGUCGGGCUUGAGUACGGAAGAGGCGAGUGGAAUUCCUGGUGUAGCGGUGAAAUGCGCAGAUAUCAGGAAGAACACCCGUGGCUAAGGCGGCUCUCUAGUACGGUACUGACGCUGAGACGCGAAAGCGUGGGGAGCGAACAGG
rnacentral:rRNA from 1 species